rnacentral:rRNA from 1 species
AUACGUAGGGGGCGAGCGUUGUCCGGAAUGAUUGGGCGUAAAGGGCGCGUAGGCGGCCCGGUAAGUCUGGAGUGAAAGUCCUGCUUUUAAGGUGGGAAUUGCUUUGGAUACUGUCGGGCUUGAGUGCAGGAGAGGUAAGUGGAAUUCCCAGUGUAGCGGUGAAAUGCGUAGAGAUUGGGAGGAACACCAGUGGCGAAGGCGACUUACGGGACUGUAACUGACGCUGAGGCGCGAAAGUGUGGGGAGCAAACAGGAUUAGAUACCCUGGUAGUCCACACUGUAAACGAUGAAUGCUAGGUGUAGGGGGUAUCGACCCCUUCUGUGCCGCAGUUAACACAAUAAGCAUUCCGCCUGGGGAGUACGGCCGCAAGGUUGAAACUCAAAUGAAUUGACGGGG